rnacentral:pre_miRNA from 1 species
CAACUACUCCCUCUGUCCCAAAUUUCUUGUCUUAGAUUUGUCUAGAUACAGAUGUAUCUAAUACUAAAAUGUGACUUGAUACAUCCGUAUCUAGACAAAUCUAAGACAAGAAUUUUGGGACGGAGGGAGUACUUN